GUGCCAGCCGCCGCGGUAAGACGUAGGGGGCGAGCGUUACCCGGAAUUACUGGGCGUAAAGCGUGCGCAGGCGGUUAUAUAAGACAGAUGUGAAAUCCCCGGGCUCAACCUGGGAACUGCAUCUGUGACUGCAUCGCUGGAGUGCGGCAGAGGGGGAUGGAAUUCCGCGUGUAGCAGUGAAAUGCGUAGAUAUGCGGAGGAACACCGAUGGCGAAGGCAAUCCCCUGGGCCUGCACUGACGCUCAUGCACGAAAGCGUGGGGAGCAAACAGGAUUAGAUACCCUGGUAGUCCACGCCCUAAACGAUGUCAACUGGUUGUUGGGUCUUCACUGACUCAGUAACGAAGCUAACGCGUGAAGUUGACCGCCUGGGGAGUACGGCCGCAAGGUUGAAACUUAAAUGAAUUGACGG
rnacentral:rRNA from 1 species